rnacentral:rRNA from 1 species
CGGACGGGUGAGUAACACGUGGAUAACCUACCUAUAAGACUGGGAUAACUUCGGGAAACCGGAGCUAAUACCGGAUAAUAUUUUGAACCGCAUGGUUCAAAAGUGAAAGACGGUCUUGCUGUCACUUAUAGAUGGAUCCGCGCUGCAUUAGCUAGUUGGUAAGGUAACGGCUUACCAAGGCAACGAUGCAUAGCCGACCUGAGAGGGUGAUGGCCACACUGGAACUGAGACACGGUCCAG